GGCAACAGCAGGCGAUGGACGUGCAACCCACACGUGACACUUGCCUGCAAGCUUUUCUGAGACGCGGAUGGCUGAGAGCCAGCUCUAAAUAUUUCACGUCUCUGAGUUGAUCAGGUUUCCCAAAGCAGGGUGCAGUCCAUCACAGCAGGGAAAUCAUGGCCGCAGAUGCGAGGCAGUUGUCAAUAUCAUCUCCACAGUCAGCAAGCAGAGAGUAGACAGGAAACACAGCCAGGCCAUAAAACCUUCAAGCCUUCCUCAGUGGCCUGCUUUCUCCAGAGGAGUUCUGCUUCCUAAUGGCUACGAACGCUUCCAAAAGAGCGCCACCAGCUGGGGACCAGCUGUUCCAACAUGAGCCUGUGGGGGACAUUUAACAUUCAAGCACACGGGAGACUGCUAGGACAGAAGAAAGCAGAGCGCUUUCUUCAGAUAUGGUGAGCAGGAUGUGAUUUGUCGCUUCUGUCUGCACCGGUUUAACUCAAGAAAUCGUCAUCGCCAGAAUUCAAAUAAAACCUUCCGUUCUC
rnacentral:lncRNA from 1 species